rnacentral:rRNA from 1 species
UUUACGGAGAGUUUGAUCCUGGCUCAGGAUGAACGCUGGCGGCGUGCUUAACACAUGCAAGUCGAACGGUGAAGCCAAGCUUGCUUGGUGGAUCAGUGGCGAACGGGUGAGUAACACGUGAGCAACCUGCCCUGGACUCUGGGAUAAGCGCUGGAAACGGCGUCUAAUACUGGAUAUGAGCUCUCAUCGCAUGGUGGGGGUUGGAAAGAUUUUUCGGUCUGGGAUGGGCUCGCGGCCUAUCAGCUUGUUGGUGAGGUAAUGGCUCACCAAGGCGUCGACGGGUAGCCGGCCUGAGAGGGUGACCGGCCACACUGGGACUGAGACACGGCCCAGACUCCUACGGGAGGCAGCAGUGGGGAAUAUUGCACAAUGGGCGGAAGCCUGAUGCAGCAACGCCGCGUGAGGGAUGACGGCCUUCGGGUUGUAAACCUCUUUUAGCAGGGAAGAAGCGAGAGUGACGGUACCUGCAGAAAAAGCGCCGGCUAACUACGUGCCAGCAGCCGCGGUAAUACGUAGGGCGCAAGCGUUAUCCGGAAUUAUUGGGCGUAAAGAGCUCGUAGGCGGUUUGUCGCGUCUGCUGUGAAAUCCCGAGGCUCAACCUCGGGCCUGCAGUGGGUACGGGCAGACUAGAGUGCGGUAGGGGAGAUUGGAAUUCCUGGUGUAGCGGUGGAAUGCGCAGAUAUCAGGAGGAACACCGAUGGCGAAGGCAGAUCUCUGGGCCGUAACUGACGCUGAGGAGCGAAAGGGUGGGGAGCAAACAGGCUUAGAUACCCUGGUAGUCCACCCCGUAAACGUUGGGAACUAGUUGUGGGGACCAUUCCACGGUUUCCGUGACGCAGCUAACGCAUUAAGUUCCCCGCCUGGGGAGUACGGCCGCAAGGCUAAAACUCAAAGGAAUUGACGGGGACCCGCACAAGCGGCGGAGCAUGCGGAUUAAUUCGAUGCAACGCGAAGAACCUUACCAAGGCUUGACAUACACCAGAACACCGUAGAAAUACGGGACUCUUUGGACACUGGUGAACAGGUGGUGCAUGGUUGUCGUCAGCUCGUGUCGUGAGAUGUUGGGUUAAGUCCCGCAACGAGCGCAACCCUCGUUCUAUGUUGCCAGCACGUAAUGGUGGGAACUCAUGGGAUACUGCCGGGGUCAACUCGGAGGAAGGUGGGGAUGACGUCAAAUCAUCAUGCCCCUUAUGUCUUGGGCUUCACGCAUGCUACAAUGGCCGGUACAAAGGGCUGCAAUACCGUGAGGUGGAGCGAAUCCCAAAAAGCCGGUCCCAGUUCGGAUUGAGGUCUGCAACUCGACCUCAUGAAGUCGGAGUCGCUAGUAAUCGCAGAUCAGCAACGCUGCGGUGAAUACGUUCCCGGGUCUUGUACACACCGCCCGUCAAGUCAUGAAAGUCGGUAACACCUGAAGCCGGUGGCCCAACCCUUGUGGAGGGAGCCGUCGAAGGUGGGAUCGGUAAUUAGGACUAAGUCGUAACAAGGUAGCCGUACCGGAAGGUGCGGCUGGAUCACCUCCUUUCUAAGGA